GCUAGCGUAGCUCAGUUGGCAGAGCAGUUGAUUUUCAAUCAACAGGUCGCAGGUUCGACUCCUGUCGCUAGCU
rnacentral:tRNA from 1 species